rnacentral:snRNA from 13 species
GUGCUUACUUUGACAGCACAUAUACUAAAACUGGAACAAUACAAAAAAGAUUAAUAUGACCCCUGGACAAGAAUGACAUGAAACUCAUGAAGCAUUCCAUAUUUUU